GACCAAAGGGGGCGAGCGUAAGCAGCUCUCACCGAAGGAGGAGCCUGCGUCCGAUUAGCUAGUUGGUGGGGUAAUGGCCUACCAAGGCGACGAUCGGUGGCCGGCCUGAGAGGGCGAUCGGCCACACUGGAACUGAGACACGGUCCAGACUCCUACGGGAGGCAGCAGUGGGGAAUAUUGCGCAAUGGGCGAAAGCCUGACGCAGCGACGCCGCGUGGGUGAUGAAGGCCUUCGGGUCGUAAAGCCCUGUCUGGUGGAACGAAACGCCUGGCGGCCAAUACCCGCUGGGCUUGACGGUACCACCGAAGGAAGCCCCGGCUAACUACGUGCCAGCAGCCGCGGUAAGACGUAGGGGGCGAGCGUUGUUCGGAUUUACUGGGCGUAAAGCGCGCGUAGGCGGCCAGAUAAGUCGGGUGUGAAAGCCCUCGGCUCAACCGAGGUUCCGCAUCCGAUACUGCUUGGCUGGAGUCUAGGAGAGGAGAGCGGAAUUCCCAGUGUAGCGGUGAAAUGCGUAGAUAUUGGGAGGAACACCCGUGGCGAAGGCGGCUCUCUGGACUAGUACUGACGCUGAGGCGCGAAAGCUAGGGGAGCGAACGGGAUUAGAUACCCCGGUAGUCCUAGCCGUAAACGAUGGGCACUAGGUGUGGGAGGUAUUGACCCCUUCCGCGCCGAAGCUAACGCAUUAAGUGCCCCGCCUGGGGAGUACGGCCGCAAGGCUAAAACUCAAAGGAAUUGACGGGGGCCCGCACAAGCGGUGGAGCAUGUGGUUCAAUUCGACGCAACGCGAAGAACCUUACCAGGGCUUGACAUCCCACGAACCUGCCUGAAGGGCGGGGUGCCCGCAAGGGAGCGCGGAGA
rnacentral:rRNA from 1 species